rnacentral:rRNA from 1 species
CCUACGGGAGGCUGCAAUUAGGAAUCUUGCGCAAUGGGGGAAACCCUGACGCAGCGACGCCGCGUGAACGAUGAAGUCUCUCGGGAUGUAAAGUUCUGUCCUACAGGGAAGAAGAAUGUGACGGUACCUGUAGAGAAAGCCCCGGCUCACUACGUGCCAGCAGCCGCGGUAAUACGUAGGGGGCGAGCGUUGUCCGAAUUUAUUGGGCGUAAAGCGCGUGUAGGCGGCUCUUUAAGUCAGAUGUGAAAUCUUGCGGCUCAACCGCAUAACUGCAUUGGAUACUGGGGGGCUUGAGUAAGGGAGAGGAAAGUGGAAUUCCUGGUGUAGCGGUGAAAUGCGUAGAUAUCAGGAGGAACACCCAUGGCGAAGGCAGCUUUCUGGCCUUUUACUGACGCUGAGACGCGAAAGCUAGGGGAGCGAACG